AAACAAACCCCUCAGUCAAAAAGCCCUGCAUGUAUAGAAGGAGGAGUUUUGCUCCUAUCGGUUAAGUCUUGUUGAGCUUAGUAGCUCAGCCUUGUUGUGGCUCCUGUUUUUCAGGUGAAGCUGCUGCUUCCGACCCCUCUCUUGCUGGCGCUUGGCCGCCCCAGCUCCCGCCGGGCUGGACGGUCGAGUGGGACCCCUCCUCGGACGGCGAGGAGAGGAAUCAGUGAUGUUCCGGCUGGCCUCACCAGGACAUCCGACCCCGAUGAAGUCUUCCGCUAGUGUUUACCUCUGUUGUUUCUUCUGAACCUUGUAAAAAAAAACUCUGAUGUGGAUUUUAUGGUCGAACUAAAUGAGUAAAUCUGCCUAACUCAGUGGACUCGUUGUAUUCUCUGUAACCACUCACCUUCGUGUGGGUUUGCUAAACUCGAUCCUGUUCAAGUGGUUAAAUCGGAUGAAAUCCGAUGGCACUUCGUGUUAACUUGGUUUAAGCAUGGGUGUCGCAUGUUAGGCGGCUUAACCCUAUCUAAUCAAGCUAAUUCGAAGUGGAUCCGCCACACAAACGCUACACCGUGAC
rnacentral:lncRNA from 1 species